UACGGAGGGAGCUAGCGUUGUUCGGAAUUACUGGGCGUAAAGCGCACGUAGGCGGCUUUGUAAGUCAGAGGUGAAAGCCUGGAGCUCAACUCCAGAAUUGCCUUUGAGACUGCAUCGCUUGAAUCCAGGAGAGGAGAGUGGAAUUCCUGGUGUAGCGGUGGAAUGCGCAGAUAUCAGGAAGAACACCCGUGGCGAAGGCGGCUCUCUGGAACGCAACUGACGCUGAGACGCGAAAGCGUGGGGAGCAAACAGG
rnacentral:rRNA from 1 species